GCGCCCGUAGCUCAGUCGGAUAGAGCACCAGAUUCCUAAUCUGGGGGUCGUGGGUUCGAAUCCCGCCGGGCGCGCCA
rnacentral:tRNA from 2 species